rnacentral:rRNA from 1 species
GAGUUUGAUCAUGGCUCAGAUUGAACGCUGGCGGCAUGCUUUACACAUGCAAGUCGAACGGCAGCAUGACCAAGCUUGCUUGGUUGAUGGCGAGUGGCGAACGGGUGAGUAACACAUCGGAACGUACCGUUUAGUGGGGGACAACUUUCAGAAAUGGAAGCUAAUACCGCAUACGAACUACGGUUGAAAGCAGGGGACCUUCGGGCCUUGUGCUAAACGAGCGGCCGAUGGAAGAUUAGCUAGUUGGUGGGGUAAAGGCUCACCAAGGCGACGAUCUUUAGCGGGUCUGAGAGGACGAUCCGCCACACUGAAACUGAGACACGGUCCAGGCUCCUACGGGAGGCAGCAGUGGGGAAUUUUGGACAAUGGGGGCAACCCUGAUCCAGCAAUGCCGCGUGAGUGAAGAAGGCCUUCGGGUUGUAAAGCUCUUUUGUUAGGGAAGAAAAGGUAACCACUAAUAUUGGUUGCUGAUGACGGUACCUAAAGAAUAAGCACCGGCUAACUACGUGCCAGCAGCCGCGGUAAUACGUAGGGUGCAAGCGUUAAUCGGAAUUACUGGGCGUAAAGCGUGCGCAGGCGGUCUCGUAAGUCAGAUGUGAAAUCCCCGAGCUCAACUUGGGAACUGCAUCCGAAACUGCGAGACUAGAGUGUGUCAGAGGGAGGUAGAAUUCCACGUGUAGCAGUGAAAUGCGUAGAUAUGUGGAGGAAUACCAGUGGCGAAGGCGGCCUC